rnacentral:rRNA from 1 species
AGAGUUUGAUCCUGGCUCAGGGUGAACGCUAGCGGUGCGCCUAACACAUGCAAGUCGAGCGGUAGAAGAUCUAGCUUGCUAGAUCUUUGAGAGCGGCGAACGGGUGAGUAACACGUUGGUAUCUGCCCCCAAGUCAGGGAUAGCCAUUGGAAACGAUGAUUAAUACCGGAUAGUCUCUUCGGAGUAAAAAUUUAUUGCUUGGGGAGGAACCUGCGGUCUAUCAGCUAGUUGGUGAGGUAAUAGCUCACCAAGGCUAUGACGGAUAUCUGGUCUGAGAGGAUGAUCAGACACAAUGGAACUGAGACACGGUCCAUACUCCUACGGGAGGCAGCAGUGAGGAAUCUUCCACAGUGGACGAAAGUCUGAUGGAGCGACACCGCGUGAAGGAUGAAGGCCUAACGGUUGUAAACUUCUUUUCUGAAGGAGCAUAAUGAGAGUACUUCAGGAAUAAGGGACGGCUAAAUAUGUGCCAGCAGCCGCGGUAAUACAUAUGUCUCGAGCGUUACCCGGAAUCACUGGGUGUAAAGGGUUCGUAGGUGGUUUAGAAAGUUGGAUAUGAAAGACCGGGGCUCAACCCCGUGUUGGUGUUUAAAACU